UACGGGGGGAGCAAGCGUUGUUCGGAUUUACUGGGCGUAAAGGGCGCGUAGGCGGUCAGCACAAGUCAGUUGUGAAAUCUCCGGGCUUAACUCGGAAAGGUCAACUGAUACUGUGCGACUAGAGUGCAGAAGGGGCAACUGGAAUUCUCGGUGUAGCGGUGAAAUGCGUAGAUAUCGAGAGGAACACCUGCGGCGAAGGCGGGUAGCUGGGCCGACACUGACGCUGAGGCACGAAAGCGUGGGGAGCAAACAGG
rnacentral:rRNA from 1 species